AGAGCAGGGGAUGGGGAGUCACAGCUAUGGAGAGGGAAAGGGGAAGGGAAGUCCACGUGGCUUGAGCCAGGAGGAACUGCUGGAGCAAGCAGAGGCCUGAGCACGAGAAUGCUCUAGUGGCCCAGCCUAGGCCACGCCCCGGAAACCAUGGCCCUUCUGAUGGAGCCAUCCAUUGCCAGGCUGGGCUGUGGGGGCCUCCAUCACGCAGGAAGAUCACCUGAGAAGUUGGAGGGGCCUGAUGGACCACUUGCACUGGGCCACGUGGGGUCAGAUGGAGUGGGACCUGUUUCUCAGUACUAACCACCAGGAGCCAAGACUAUCUCUUCCAUCACCGCAGCUGGUUGGGAUGUUUUCGUUGGCUCUCCAGGAGUUACACACGUCUAUGUGGCAGCCAGUGGUCCUCCUGGACACCUGCUUCAGAGGGACGGAGCUGGCCUGGGAGCUGUGAAGCUCAGCGCACUGACCACUGCAUCCAGGGUAGGAGGCACUACUGCCUACAGAGAAAGCUCAAUUGGAAGAGGCCAGGGCUUCUGCCUCUCUGUCCGCCACAUGAAGCAAAGUGUGAACAGGGGCCGAAAAGACCAAGGAAACCCAGCAACACGUUGCUGGAUGCAGAAGAUGAGGAGACCAUAGAGGAUGCUGGGGCAAGAGGAUGGAAGCAUGGAUCCCUGAGUCACCGAGUGGAAGAAAGCUGCCUGUGCCCAUUAACAUCUGCCCUCAAGGAGACCUGGUUGAGUUCACAGUGAGGACCCCAAAAGACACUUUCCAUUACUAGCAACAUUUUCCUGGGAAGAAUUCAAGGAUAUGGAAAUUAGCAGUGCAAGGAAUAUUAGAAAAGGCUUCCUGGUUGCUGGGAAUGAAGAUGUUGAUGUGACCUCCUUUGGGUCCCUGUCUUCAAAGCAUUUUCUACUCAGUCUGUUUCAUGUGAGCCAUCACACAUGGCAACGUGCCAUUUCCCCAAAGUACUAUGGGUGGUGGAAACGCAGAGCUGGGGACUUGAGGGGCAUGACCACAUCUCAGUGUGGCAGUGGGGUCACCCUGGCUCCUCUUCUGCCAUGUUUGUCCACUAAACAUUCAAGAAGGUUCCUUAGAUGUUUUCUGUUCUAGAGUUUGGCAUUCAUUGUUAGGAGUGUUUAUAUACUCGGCUGGUAUUUGUGAACUGAGGCUUUCAGAAGUUUCUGGAAAGGCCUGUUGGUUCUCAAGGGCCUACUUGACAUUGGGCCCAUCUGGAUCCUGCUCUUCACAGAGCUGGGUCUCAGGUACCCGCCAGCACACACGGAGCACAGAAUGCCUACCUGUGGGGUAUCCGUGGUCAUCCUGUGCAUCUUCCUCCUCUUCCCUCCCAGACCAGGGAGCCAAGUCCAGAGAGGCUAAAGAAUUUGCCCAAGGUCAUGCAGAGAGGGGUCAGUUCAUGCCUCAUGGUCAGAAAGAGACAAAGGUGAGAUCAUGAGAGCAAAUCUAAGAGGGCUGCUACAGAAUCCCAGUCUAGGAUAAGGAACACUUGCCUUGCAUGUGUAAGGGAGUGGGUUCGAUCUUCAGUGCCACA